rnacentral:rRNA from 1 species
GACGAACGCUGGCGGCGUGCUUAACACAUGCAAGUCGAGCGGUAAGGCCCUUUCGGGGGUACGACGAGCGGCGAACGGGUGAGUAACACGUGGGUGACCUGCCCUCAGCCCUGGGAUAAGCCUGGGAAACCGGGUCUAAUACUGGAUAUGACUCCAUGACGCAUGUUGUGGGGUGGAAAGCCUUGUGCGGCUGAGGAUGGGCCCGCGGCCUAUCAGCUUGUUGGUGGGGUGANGGCCUACCAAGGCGACGACGGGUAGCCGGCCUGAGAGGGCGACCGGCCACACUGGGACUGAGACACGGCCCAGACUCCUACGGGAGGCAGCAGUGGGGAAUCUUGCGCAAUGGGCGAAAGCCUGACGCAGCGACGCCGCGUGAGGGA